rnacentral:lncRNA from 1 species
GGAGAGGCAGUCCUUUAACUGGCAUCAGCGCUGCGGCUGGAGGCGCGGGUGUCGCUCAGUUGACUGUCCAGUUCUACCUUGGUCUGUGCAGCAGCCCUAGAUCUGCGAACUCUGUGCCGCCGCUCCCUGUACCCUGUCUUGAGGCAGCAAGCGCUAAGAAUUCAUGCUACGACACUCGAUUCUGCCCGGAGAUGUGAUCAGAAGCCAUGCCAUUGGUGAAGAGGUAUAUUGAGCCCCGUCUAGCCCAGUGAGGUUACUAGAAAAUUGGGAGAGGCUUAAACCAACAUCCUGCACAUGGUUAUCAAAUCGUUGUGAAGUCUGAGAAAAUCACCUAGGAUGCCUCUAAAAAUGCAGAUUCCUGGGCAGCCAGAAACCUUGUCCUUGGUCAACACUACCACCUACCUGUCACUUAUAUUGCGGCUUCCUGCCCAGUGGGUUCAUCAGCAAGCCAGAAUGAAUCUCCUCCAUUGCCAUAGAUGUCCUUGUGAGGUGGAAGCCUUGCAUGAAAGCAGAUGUAGACAGUAUGGAAACAAAUGCGCAGGGCUGCAUUCCAAGAAAAAUGUCAUUUACAAAAACAGGCUGGAUUCAGCCCAUGGGUAUGCCAUCCCCACUCUACAUGAUACAUAUGAGAAGAACAAGAAGAUUUGAGGUGAUACAUUAAGGCAAACACUGAAGGAGGAAUUAAUCCUUCCAGUGAUACCCAAAAAUGUGAUCUGGACAAAGGAACAGAUAUCUCAGUCACAAGAAAAGCUUUUACUUUUCAAGGAUUUUUAAUUUCAGGUAUACAAUGUAAUGAUUCAGCGAUUCUGUAUAUUACUCCAUGCUCAUCAUGUGGCGCCUAGAAGGUUCAGUGGUUGAGCAUCUGCCUUUGGUUCAGGGCGUGAUCCCAGAGUCCUGGGAUCAAGUCCCAUAUUGGGCUUCCCAUGGAGACCUUUAGAAACAACUUGUCAAGUCCUCACCAUGAAUACCAUUAGAAUUGCAGUUGGAAUGGCACAGAUUAAUUUUUGAAGAGCUGUCAUCUUUAUAAUCUUCUAAUACAUGAAUGUGAAGUGCUUCCUCCAUCCUGCAAGCUUCUGGGAACUCAGUGCCCAUUGUAUACAGGAUAUGUAUCCACUGAAGACCAUUAUGCCCUCCAAUAUAAGGCUAACUUGUGUUCUCACUACAAAAGUUUAGAAUCAGAGAGUUUCUUCUCUCUGCUGCAUUUUGAGCUGCCAGGCACUGUGCUAGAUGAUGGGGAUAUGGAGACGGACUUAGACAGAGUCCCUGCCUUCAGGAGUUCUUAGUCUAGUGAGAGAGUUCGACGUGUGCACAGAUAAUUACAACAGUAUGGUAUGCUCUGCAAUGGAGGUAUGUACAAGAUACUAUGGGGUUGAGAAGAGAAAUCAUUUGAUUUAGUUUGGAGAUGCCAGAGGUUGAAGGAAAUAAUUAGCUUAAGUGGGUUCUUAAAAGAAGUAAAGCUUGACCAGGAAGAAAACAGGGAAGGUCCUUUUAAGCAAAGUCGUGGACAUUGGAAAUAGAAUGAUGUACUGGGGGAACUACAAGUAGUUCUUGAAAUUAGGUUAGAAAUGUAGGCUGACAAUAGAUCCUUACAUAGUAUUCCAUGAAAUGCAGAUCCCAUUUUGUUUAAGUAGGAGAUGCUUUUGAUGGUCACUCUGGAAGUGCUAUAUAGUGUGUUCUGGAAGAUUUUCAGAUCUGGACAGGGAGAUUAGUU